rnacentral:rRNA from 1 species
AUUGAACGCUGGCGGCAGGCUUAACACAUGCAAGUCGAGCGGGGGAAGGUAGCUUGCUACCGGACCUAGCGGCGGACGGGUGAGUAAUGCUUAGGAAUCUGCCUAUUAGUGGGGGACAACAUCUCGAAAGGGAUGCUAAUACCGCAUACGUCCUACGGGAGAAAGCAGGGGAUCUUCGGACCUUGCGCUAAUAGAUGAGCCUAAGUCGGAUUAGCUAGUUGGUGGGGUAAAGGCCUACCAAGGCGACGAUCUGUAGCGGGUCUGAGAGGAUGAUCCGCCACACGGGGACUGAGACAUGGCCCAGACUCAUACGGGAGGCAGCAGUGGGGAAUAUUGGACAAUGGGGGGAACCCUGAUCCAGCCAUGCCGCGUGUGUGAAGAAGGCCUUAUGGUUGUAAAGCACUUUAAGCGAGGAGGAGGCUACUUUAGUUAAUACCUAGGGAUAGUGGACGUUACUCGCAGAAUAAGCACCGGCUAACUCUGUGCCAGCAGCAGCCGCGG